rnacentral:sRNA from 1 species
GAAAGCGGAGUGUCUGUAAGAGCCAUCCCGACGCCGUCUCGGCUCGCUAGUGAGGGCGCGUGGGUCGCGGCAAGGUUGCGGUGGUGGUGGUGGUGGUGGUGAUGGUGAUGCUCAGGCGCCAGGGCUCUCCCGACGACAGUCUUGGACGGCGGCAUCAAGCUCGGAUCAGGACUGUGAGGCAUAUUGCUAUGGCUGUGGUGCCCGUUAACAGCGAGGUGGUGAACCAUCUGUAAGCUUGUCUGUGCUGUUGUCCAGAAGACGUUGGGGAUAGGAAUAAAAAGGCGGACUUGGCGAUGAUGACUCG